rnacentral:rRNA from 1 species
AAAUGUUCCCAAGAUAGCCAUGCACGUCUAAGUACAAACUAAAUGAUGGUGAAACUGCAAAUGGCUCAUUACAACGGUUAUGAUGUACCCGGGAGUUCCGAUGGAUAUUUCCAGUAACACUAGAACUAAUACAUGUCCCUGCGUUUAUUAGUUUCGCACAGUCCGUCGCUGAGUCAUGGUAAACAGUUGAUCGACUCGACGUCCCGGAACAGUUUCCGCCCCAUCAGCUUCGAUGGUUGGGUAUUGGCCUACCAUUGCAACAACGGGUAACGAGGAAUUAGGGUUUGAUUUCGGAGAGGGAGCCUGAGAAACGGCUACCACAUCUACGGAUGGCAGCAGGCGCGCAAAUUACCCAAUGCAGACACUGUGAGGUAGUGACGAGAAAUAAUAAAGCGGGACUUCUGUUUCGCUAUUAUAAUGAGGAAUAACCAAAGGUCAUUCCGAUUAGCAACUGAUGGGAAAGUCUGGUGCCAGCAGCCGCGGUAAUACCAGCGUCAGUA